rnacentral:rRNA from 1 species
UACGAAGGGGGCUAGCGUUGUUCGGAAUUACUGGGCGUAAAGCGCGCGCAGGCGGCUAUCCAAGUCAGUGGUGAAAGCCCGGAGCUCAACUCCGGAACUGCCAUUGAAACUGUUUAGCUUGAGGAUGAGAGAGGUGAGUGGAAUUCCCAGUGUAGAGGUGAGAUUCGUAGAUAUUGGGAAGAACACCGGUGGCGAAGGCGGCUCACUGGCUCAUUACUGACGCUCAGGCGCGAUAGCGUGGGGAUCAAACAGG